UACGUAGGGUGCGAGCGUUGUCCGGAAUUAUUGGGCGUAAAGAGCGUGUAGGCGGCCAGGUAGGUCUGCUGUGAAAACUCGAGGCUCAACCUCGAGACGUCGGCGGAAACCAUCUGGCUAGAGUCCGGAAGAGGAGAGUGGAAUUCCUGGUGUAGCGGUGAAAUGCGCAGAUAUCAGGAAGAACACCCGUGGCGAAGGCGGCUCUCUGGGACGGUACUGACGCCGAGACGCGAAAGCCAGGGGAGCGAACGGG
rnacentral:rRNA from 1 species